UAUUGGUCAAUGGACGCGAGUCUGAACCAGCCAAGUAGCGUGCAGGAUGACUGCCCUAUGGGUUGUAAACUUCUUUUAUAUGGGAAUAAAGUUUUACACGUGUGGCAUUUUGUAUGUACCAUAUGAAUAAGGACCGGCUCACUCCGUUCCAUCAGCCGCGGUAAUACGGAGGAUCCGAGCGUUAUCCGGAUUUAUUGGGUUUAAAGGGAGCGUAGGUGGACAGUUAAGUCAGUUGUGAAAGUUUGCGGCUCAACCGUAAAAUUGCAGUUGAUACUGGCUGUCUUGAGUACAGUAGAGGUGGGCGGAAUUCGUGGUGUAGCGGUGAAAUGCUUAGAUAUCACGAAGAACUCCGAUUGCGAAGGCAGCUCACUGGACUGUUGACUGACACUGAGGCACGAAAGUGUGGGUAUCAAACA
rnacentral:rRNA from 1 species